AUGCCACUGUAUCUUUCUUAUAUAGGGCUAUGGAGCCUAUGGAGAUCAUGCUGGUUUCUUCAAGGAUAAAAUUAUGGAAUCAAAUUUAGAAGAAGGAAGACCAUUUGCUCAAG